CCUACGGGAGGCAGCAGUGGGGAAUAUUGGGCAAUGGGCGAAAGCCUGACCCAGCAACGCCGCGUGAAGGAAGAAGGCUUUCGGGUUGUAAACUUCUUUUGAUAGGGAAGAGCAGAAGACGGUACCUGUCGAAUAAGCCACGGCUAACUACGUGCCAGCAGCCGCGGUAAUACGUAGGGGGCAAGCGUUGUCCGGAUUUAGUGGGUGUAAAGGGCGUGUAGCCGGGCUGAGAAGUCAGAUGUGAAAUCUGGGGGCUCAACCCCCGAAGUGCAGUUGAAACUGUUGGUCUUGAGUAUAGGAGAGGCAGGCGGAAGUCCUAGUGUAGCGGUGAAAGGCGUAGAUAUUAGGAGGAACACCAGUGGCGAAGGCGGCCUGCUGGACGGCAACUGACGGUGAGGCGCGAAAGCGUGGGGAGCAAACAGGAUUAGAUACCCGGGUAGUC
rnacentral:rRNA from 1 species